rnacentral:rRNA from 1 species
UACGUAGGGUGCGAGCGUUGUCCGGAAUUAUUGGGCGAAAGAGCUCGUAGGCGGUUUGUCGCGUCGACUGUGAAAACCUACAGCUUAACUGUGGGCUUGCAGUCGAUACGGGCAGACUUGAGUUCGGUAGGGGAGACUGGAAUUCCUGGUGUAGCGGUGAAAUGCGCAGAUAUCAGGAGGAACACCGGUGGCGAAGGCGGGUCUCUGGGCCGGUAACUGACGCUGAGGUGCGAAAGCGUGGGGAGCGAACAGG